rnacentral:sRNA from 1 species
GCGAAGCGAGAGAACGUUGCGCCAGCAACGGCCCGCAGGGCGAGCCACGCAGUGGCGAGUCAUCCUCUAUCACCGGCAG